rnacentral:rRNA from 1 species
UUCCGGUUGAUCCUGCCGGACCCGACUGCUAUCAGAGUGGGACUAAGCCAUGCGAGUCAACGCAGCAAUGCGUGGCAUACGGCUCAGUAACACGUAGUCAACAUGCCCAGGGGACGUGGAUAACCUCGGGAAACUGAGGAUAAACCGCGAUAGGCCAAGAUUUCUGGAAUGGAUCAUGGCUGAAACCUACAUGGCCCCUGGAUUGGACUGCGGCCGAUCAGGCUGUUGGUGAGGUAAUGGCCCACCAAACCUGUAACCGGUACGGGCUCUGAGAGGAGGAGCCCGGAGAUGGGCACUGAGACAAGGGCCCAGGCCCUAUGGGGCGCAGCAGGCGCGAAACCUCUGCAAUAGGCGAAAGCUUGACAGGGUUACUCUGAGUGAUGCCCGUUAAGGGCAUCUUUUGGCACUUCUAAAAAUAGUGUAGAAUAAGGGGUGGGCAAGUCUGGUGUCAGCCGCCGCGGUAAAACCAGC